AGCAGGAACAGCACUGCUGAGAAGAGCUGUGUGUGAGAAAGCCACUCAGAAGGUUGUCCUGUCACAGAAGAGGCAUGUGGCAUCUGGAUCCCAGUGUGAACACCUGCUGCCAGGGCCAGGUGCAGAACAGGAUGUCUGCUCCAGGAGUGAUGUAUGUUCUGAGAAGGUCCUGCUGCCUGAGAGGAUUCUCCAAAUGGCUUUCCACUGUACCUGCUGGUCAUGAGGAAUACCCUCAGGUGGAAUGCUGUGAAAGGGCACAUGAUGCACACAAUCCAUAUUAGAAC